AAACAAUGAUCCAUAAACAACUUUGUAAAUCAAAUAUUGAUUCAUUAAAUCAAUUCUCUUCACUAGAAUCAACACUAACACAAAAAAUACAAAAAAACUAACAAGAAGAGAUAGCACCAAGCUUAUCCUCAACUUAGUACUAUCACAGUCUAGUAUUUUCUUCCUCUCUCCUAUCCUCCUUAUAUUACCUCGAGAUACCAACUCCUAUACUAUGGAUGAUAAUUACUUUUCUUGACUAUUCAUCCAUUCUACCUGCUGAAC
rnacentral:lncRNA from 1 species